rnacentral:rRNA from 1 species
UACGUAGGGUGCAAGCGUUGUCCGGAAUUAUUGGGCGUAAAGAGCUCGUAGGCGGUCUGUCGCGUCUGCUGUGAAAACUCAGGGCUUAACCCUGAGCUUGCAGUGGGUACGGGCAGACUAGAGUGCGGUAGGGGAGUCUGGAAUUCCUGGUGUAGCGGUGAAAUGCGCAGAUAUCAGGAGGAACACCGGUGGCGAAGGCGGGUCUCUGGGCCGUAACUAACGCUGAGGAGCGAAAGCAUGGGGAGCGAACAGG